CAGAUUUCUCGUUAGAGUUCUCGUCCAUGGAGACCUCGAUAACGUCAUCCUCGCCGGAAAUCGUUUCAACCGACCUGGACCGUUCCCUGAUAAAAUCUUUUCGGUUCGUGUGGAGAGAUAACAAGGGAACGUCCAAGAACAAACCUGCCCUGGAUCAUAACGAAAGAGUGGAGCUCGAGGAAAUCAAUUCUCAACUUACCUGGCAUCUUCCCAACGACACGAUGUGCAAGUGAAUCUUUUGUAUCUGACCAAGGAUAUCGCUGUCUAUAGGUCUUCUUCAUUUCAAUGCGGAAUAAAAACAGAGGACCCAAAUCACCCAAAAUGAUCGCGUACGUUCUGUUUAUCGGAGUUUCCAAUUUUCAAAGUUUCACCGGUCUACAUUUGCUUGGAUAAUCAGAAUUCUAAUGUUCGUCAAACUUUUCGCGUUAUCUCAGCAUCGCAAAGGAUACAUCUAUCGCGUUUAAUAGAAUUAUGACACAAGAACAUGGGAAACGAUCAUUUACACGAGUCUGCAAUCGACGCAAUAAUGACCACAGUCUAAUGACAAUUAUAUGGAUGCAAUGGAUGAUAAUGAAUUUCUAAUCGAAGACUAAAAAAGAAUCGGGAAACGAGAAAAACAAAUUCGGCCUACAAAGUGUUAACAAUUAACAUUAUUUUCGAAGAAUAUAUCGAUACAUGAGACGCGGUAAAAUGGCAAGACCAAAAAUAUAACUGAUAUCGAGACUGUUUUCCCUAGAUGCUCGAUACGAGAAACGCUGUUAUUACGGUGUUACCCAUCACGUCACGAGCUUUUACCCAUCUACGCCUUCACGUGUUUACCAAAUCCAAAUCGAUCCGUGAGAUUAGCAAAUGUAAACGACUUACGUUUGGGUCAUCCUUCAGUUUGCCCACGCAGAUCUGUAAAACGAGAAGAAAAUUCAGAAUUAAUAACAUUGUUGAGCCGUCUGAAACGUUUGCGUUAGAAUAUCGUAGAAGCUUUCGAAACGUGACCACUUUGUUCCGCGGCGCAAUAAUGCAAUUAUCCUAAUACAUUGUGCCUUGAUCCGUUGUGUCGAACAAAAUGAACCAACAUCAAAUAUUUUACAUCUAACGAAUCUCUCCCCGGUCUCCGUAUGUUUCUUAGAUCUUAACGAUAAUUUAAUCCUAGAAAAACUAAAGGAAUGUAAUUUUACUUUGUUUUUCAUGAUUGAUCAUGUAUGUAUGAAUAGUAAACAAAAAAAAGCUUCGUAUAGUCGUUCAAUGAGAAUCCCAUUGACCGUGAAAAUAUAAUCGUGUAAAAAAUAAAAUACAACGUGUAUAGAUUUAUU